rnacentral:rRNA from 1 species
AAAUUGAAGAGUUUGAUCAUGGCUCAGAUUGAACGCUGGCGGCAGGCCUAACACAUGCAAGUCGAGCGGAAACGAGUUAUCUGAACCUUCGGGGAACGAUAACGGCGUCGAGCGGCGGACGGGUGAGUAAUGCCUAGGAAAUUGCCCUGAUGUGGGGGAUAACCAUUGGAAACGAUGGCUAAUACCGCAUAAUGCCUACGGGCCAAAGAGGGGGACCUUCGGGCCUCUCGCGUCAGGAUAUGCCUAGGUGGGAUUAGCUAGUUGGUGAGGUAAGGGCUCACCAAGGCGACGAUCCCUAGCUGGUCUGAGAGGAUGAUCAGCCACACUGGAACUGAGACACGGUCCAGACUCCUACGGGAGGCAGCAGUGGGGAAUAUUGCACAAUGGGCGCAAGCCUGAUGCAGCCAUGCCGCGUGUGUGAAGAAGGCCUUCGGGUUGUAAAGCACUUUCAGUCGUGAGGAAGGUAGUGUAGUUAAUAGCUGCAUUAUUUGACGUUAGCGACAGAAGAAGCACCGGCUAACUCCGUGCCAGCAGCCGCGGUAAUACGGAGGGUGCGAGCGUUAAUCGGAAUUACUGGGCGUAAAGCGCAUGCAGGUGGUUUGUUAAGUCAGAUGUGAAAGCCCGGGGCUCAACCUCGGAAUUGCAUUUGAAACUGGCAGACUAGAGUACUGUAGAGGGGGGUAGAAUUUCAGGUGUAGCGGUGAAAUGCGUAGAGAUCUGAAGGAAUACCGGUGGCGAAGGCGGCCCCCUGGACAGAUACUGACACUCAGAUGCGAAAGCGUGGGGAGCAAACAGGAUUAGAUACCCUGGUAGUCCACGCCGUAAACGAUGUCUACUUGGAGGUUGUGGCCUUGAGCCGUGGCUUUCGGAGCUAACGCGUUAAGUAGACCGCCUGGGGAGUACGGUCGCAAGAUUAAAACUCAAAUGAAUUGACGGGGGCCCGCACAAGCGGUGGAGCAUGUGGUUUAAUUCGAUGCAACGCGAAGAACCUUACCUACUCUUGACAUCCAGAGAACUUUCCAGAGAUGGAUUGGUGCCUUCGGGAACUCUGAGACAGGUGCUGCAUGGCUGUCGUCAGCUCGUGUUGUGAAAUGUUGGGUUAAGUCCCGCAACGAGCGCAACCCUUAUCCUUGUUUGCCAGCGAGUAAUGUCGGGAACUCCAGGGAGACUGCCGGUGAUAAACCGGAGGAAGGUGGGGACGACGUCAAGUCAUCAUGGCCCUUACGAGUAGGGCUACACACGUGCUACAAUGGCGCAUACAGAGGGCGGCACUUGCGAGAGUGAGCGAUCCCAAAAAGUGCGUCGUAGUCGGAUCGGAGUCUGCACUCGACUCCGUGAGUCGGAUCGCUAGUAAUCGUGGAUCAGAAUGCACGGUGAAUACGUU